CCCCUGCAUACUUGAAGCCUUCCAAAGAGUGGGAAUGGGCACUCAGAAAGCAGGAGGUGAAGAAAAUGACCCACUAUUUGAGCAAGCCAUCAACAAAGUAAUGCUCUUGUAAUUCUGGAAACCAGAAGGGACCCGUUGAACAGCUUCCAGGUCCCAGACUCGAAUGGACCCUGACUGGGACCCUGCAACAAGAAGUUCCUCCUUGGCACUGAUCUGUAGGCUCUCAAUGGGUGUUGUGUGGC